rnacentral:rRNA from 1 species
UACGUAGGGGGCAAGCGUUGUCCGGAUUUAUUGGGCGUAAAGAGCUCGUAGGCGGUCUGUCGCGUCUGCUGUGAAAACCUAGGGCUUAACUCUGGGCGUGCAGUGGGUACGGGCAGGCUAGAGUGCGGUAGGGGAGACUGGAAUCCUGGUGUAGCGGUGAAAUGCGCAGAUAUCAGGGGGAAGCACCGGUGGCGAAGGCGGGUCUCUGGGCCGGUAACUGACGCUGAGGAGCGAAGACAUGGGGAGCGAACAGG